GAAUAUACCAAACUCUGUACCUUCGACUUUAGCCAGAGUCAUACGGGUAGAAGGCACCGACACACUACCAAUGAUUAACAAUGCCGUUGGUAUCAGAAGAAACAGAAUGGCUAGAAACGCUAAAGUAUUGCGAAUCAUGUUGAACACGAAAAGUUGCUAAUAGUUGUAUUUGUUCGAAAGAAGAAAUUCAAAUGCACAAGGGCAAAAUAAUUUAUGCAAGUAGAUGAAUGAAAAAAUAGAAAAGAAAGCUGAAAAGUUAAGAUAUUCUUAUAAAAAAAGAAAGACGGCCUAAAAUAAAUAUUGCUCGGGGAUUUGGGGGAAAUGAGAAAACCGAAAAGAGAGCAG